AGUCAAGUAAUUAAGUGCAUGUGGUGGAUGCCUUGGCAGUCAGAGGCGAUGAAAGACGUGAUAGCCUGCGAAAAGCUCCGGGGAGGCGGCAAAUAUCCUUUGAUCCGGAGAUGUCUGAAUGGGGGAACCCACCUACUUUAAGGUAGGUAUUGCAACAUGAAUACAUAGUGUUGCAAGGCGAACGAGGGGAAGUGAAACAUCUCAGUACCCUUAGGAAAAGAAAUCAAUUGAGAUUCCCUCAGUAGCGGCGAGCGAACGGGGAUCAGCCCAUUAAGUUAUGUGUGUUUUAGUGGAACGCUCUGGGAAGUGCGAACGUAGAGGGUGAUAUUCCCGUACACGAAAGGGCACACAUAAUGAUGACGAGUAGGGCGAGGCACGUGAAACCUUGUCUGAAUAUGGGGGGACCAUCCUCCAAGGCUAAAUACUCCUGACUGACCGAUAGUGAACCAGUACCGUGAGGGAAAGGCGAAAAGAACCCCUGUGAGGGGAGUGAAAUAGAUCCUGAAACCGCAUGCAUACAAGCAGUGGGAGCACCUUCGUGGUGUGACUGCGUACCUUUUGUAUAAUGGGUCAGCGACUUAUAUUCAGUAGCAGGUUAACCGUAUAGGGGAGCCGUAGAGAAAUCGAGUCUUAAUAGGGCGUUUAGUUGCUGGGUAUAGACCCGAAACCAGGCGAUCUAUCCAUGAGCAGGUUGAAGGUUGGGUAACACUAACUGGAGGACCGAACCCACUGUCGUUGAAAAGCCAGGGGAUGACUUGUGGAUAGGGGUGAAAGGCUAAUCAAGCCUGGUGAUAGCUGGUUCUCCCCGAAAGCUAUUUAGGUAGCGCCUCGGACGAAUACCAUAGGGGGUAGAGCACUGUUUCGGCUAGGGGGUCAUCCCGACUUACCAAACCGAUGCAAACUCCGAAUACCUAUGAGUACUAUCCGGGAGACAGACUGCGGGUGCUAACGUCCGUAGUCAAGAGGAAAACAAUCCAGACCGCCAGCUAAGGCCCCAAAAUCAUAGUUAAGUGGGAAACGAUGUGGGAAGGCAUAGACAGCUAGGAGGUUGGCUUAGAAGCAGCCACCCUUUAAAGAAAGCGUAAUAGCUCACUAGUCGAGUCGGCCUGCGCGGAAGAUGUAACGGGGCUAAAACUAUGUGCCGAAGCUGCGGAUGUUACUUAUCAAGUGGUAGGGGAGCGUUCUGUAAGCCGAUGAAGGUGUUUGAGAAGCAUGCUGGAGGUAUCAGAAGUGCGAAUGCUGACGUGAGUAACGACAAAACGGGUGAAAAACCCGUUCGCCGAAAGACCAAGGGUUCCAGUCCAACGUUAAUCGGGGCUGGGUGAGUCGACCCCUAAGGCGAGGCCGAAAGGCGUAGUCGAUGGGAAAAUGGUUAAUAUUCCAUUACUUCUGUGUAAUGCGAUGAGAGGACGGAGAAGGCUAAAUCAGCCUGGCGUUGGUUGUCCAGGUGAAAGGAUGUAGGCAUGUAUCUUAGGCAAAUCCGGGGUACUCUAUGCUGAGAUCUGAUAGCAAGCUGUACUUGUACAGCGAAGUGGUUGAUGCCAUGCUUCCAGGAAAAGUCUCUAAGCUUCAGUUACACAGGAAUCGUACCCGAAACCGACACAGGUGGUCAGGUCGAGUAGACCAAGGCGCUUGAGAGAACUCUGCUGAAGGAACUAGGCAAAAUGGUACCGUAACUUCGGGAGAAGGUACGCUGUUGUUGGUGAUGGAACUCGCUUCCUGAGCUGACGACAGCCGCAGAAACCAGGCCGCUGCAACUGUUUAUUAAAAACAUAGCACUCUGCAAACACGAAAGUGGACGUAUAGGGUGUGAUGCCUGCCCGGUGCUGGAAGGUUAAUUGAUGGGGUUAGCGUAAGCGAAGCUCUUGAUCGAAGCCCCAGUAAACGGCGGCCGUAACUAUAACGGUCCUAAGGUAGCGAAAUUCCUUGUCGGGUAAGUUCCGACCUGCACGAAUGGCAUAAUGAUGGCGGCGCUGUCUCCAGCAGAGGCUCAGUGAAAUCGAAAUCGCUGUGAAGAUGCAGUGUACCCGCGGCUAGACGGAAAGACCCCGUGAACCUUUACUGCAGCUUGACACUGAACUUUGACCUUACUUGUGUAGGAUAGGUGGGAGGCUUUGAAGCUGGAACGCUAGUUCCAGUGGAGCCGUCCUUGAAAUACCACCCUGGUAAUGUUGAGGUUCUAACUCUGUCCCGUGAUCCGGGACGAGGACCGUGUCUGGUGGGUAGUUUGACUGGGGCGGUCUCCUCCUAAAGAGUAACGGAGGAGUACGAAGGUGCGCUCAGCGUGGUCGGAAAUCACGCGUAGAGUAUAAAGGCAAAAGCGCGCUUAACUGCGAGACCCACAAGUCGAGCAGGUACGAAAGUAGGUCUUAGUGAUCCGGUGGUUCUGUAUGGAAGGGCCAUCGCUCAACGGAUAAAAGGUACUCUGGGGAUAACAGGCUGAUACCGCCCAAGAGUUCAUAUCGACGGCGGUGUUUGGCACCUCGAUGUCGGCUCAUCUCAUCCUGGGGCUGAAGCAGGUCCCAAGGGUAUGGCUGUUCGCCAUUUAAAGAGGUACGCGAGCUGGGUUUAGAACGUCGUGAGACAGUUCGGUCCCUAUCUACCGUGGGCGCUGGAAAUUUGAGAGGAUCUGCUCCUAGUACGAGAGGACCAGAGUGGACGAACCUCUGGUGUACCGGUUGUGACGCCAGUCGCAUCGCCGGGUAGCUAUGUUCGGAAGGGAUAACCGCUGAAAGCAUCUAAGCGGGAAGCCUACCUCAAGAUAAGAUUUCCCUAGGACUUUAUGUCCUCUAAAGAGCCGUUCGAGACUAGGACGUUGAUAGGUUGGAUGUGGAAGCAUAGUGAUAUGUGAAGCUGACCAAUACUAAUUGCUCGUGAGGCUUGACUAU
rnacentral:rRNA from 1 species